rnacentral:rRNA from 1 species
CUACGGGUGGCUGCAGUGAGGAAUAUUGCACAAUGGGGGGAACCCUGAUGCAGCAACGCCGCGUGGAGGAUGACGCAUUUCGGUGUGUAAACUCCUUUUAUAUGUCAAGAAAAUGACGGUAGCAUAUGAAUAAGCACCGGCUAACUCCGUGCCAGCAGCCGCGGUAAUACGGAGGGUGCAAGCGUUACUCGGAAUCACUGGGCGUAAAGGACGCGUAGGCGGGUUGGAAAGUCAGGUGUGAAAUCCUACAGCUUAACUGUAGAACUGCACUUGAAACUUCUAAUCUAGAGUAUGGGAGGGGGAGAUGGAAUUAGUGGUGUAGGGGUAAAAUCCGUAGAUAUCACUAGGAAUACCUAAAGCGAAGGCGAUCUCCUGGGACAUUACUGACGCUAAGACGUGAAAGCGUGGGGAGCAAACAGGAUUAGAUACCCGAGUAGUC